UAUCUACUCCCUCCGUCUGGAAAUACUCGUCAUUGAAAUGGAUGUAUCUAGAUGUAUUUUAGUUGUAGAUACAUCCAUUUUCAUUCAUUUUGAUGACAAGUAUUUUCGGACGGAGGGAGUACUAG
rnacentral:pre_miRNA from 1 species